rnacentral:rRNA from 1 species
GAUGAACGCUGGCGGCGUGCCUAACACAUGCAAGUCGAGCGAGAUGUAUAUGGACGAAACUUCGGUCUAGGAAAUAUAUUGACAGCGGCGGACGGGUGAGUAACGCGUAGGCAACCUGCCCCAAACACAGGGAUAGCCUCGGGAAACCGGGAUUAAAACCUGAUAAUGCCAAAUAGUCACAUGGCUGUUUGGCCAAAGAUUUAUCGGUUUGGGAUGGGCCUGCGUCUGAUUAGUUUGUUGGUGGGGUAACGGCCUACCAAGACUACGAUCAGUAGCCGACCUGAGAGGGUGAUCGGCCACAUUGGAACUGAGACACGGUCCAAACUCCUACGGGAGGCAGCAGUGGGGAAUAUUGCACAAUGGGCGAAAGCCUGAUGCAGCAACGCCGCGUGAGCGAUGAAGGCCUUUGGGUCGUAAAGCUCUGUCCUUGGGGAAGAAACAAAUGACGGUACCCAAGGAGGAAGCCCCGGCUAACUACGUGCCAGCCGCCGCGGUAAUAC